rnacentral:misc_RNA from 1 species
AGCUAUCCGAGAGCUGCAGUUUAGAUCUGAAAGCAUGGCGUCGGGUCAGUUUCCCUAUCAGCGCGCCGCCGCCGCCGCCCUCUGCCUGUUGUUGUUCGCCGUUCGAUCAGACUCCCGGCCCUCCCAUCUCGAGGCAGAUCCCGGCGUCGCGUCGCCGGCGAUGCUCGCCUUCUUCGGCGCUCGUCCGGCGGUGGACGCUCGUCCGGCGGUGGAGAUCCCCGAGGCGACCAACGCUACCGAUCCGGCCUGGGCGGUGGCGGGGAGAGCAGCGUCGGUGAGAGCGGCGCCGGAAUGGACCAGAGGCGAGGACCACAGGAGGACGUCGGUGCAAGUGGCCGGCGUGAUCUGUGGCGUUAUUGGAGUGGCGCUGCUGGCUGCUGCUGCGUUGGGGUUUGUGCUUCAUGCUCGCCGGUCGGAGGGGACCGGGUUUGGUCUGGG